rnacentral:misc_RNA from 1 species
AACGCACAUUGCGCCCGCCAGUAUUCUGGCGGGCAUGCCUGUUCGAGCGUCAUUUCAACCAUCAAGCCCCAGGCUUGUGUUGGGGGCCUGCGGCUGCCGCAGCCCCCUAAAAGCAGUGGCGGGCUCGCUGUCAUUCCGAGCGUAGUAGUUAUAUCUCGCUCUGGGCGUGGCGGCGAGUACUGCCGUAAAACACUCUUUCUAAGGUUGACCUCGGAUCAGGUAGGAAUACCCGCUGAACUUAA